rnacentral:rRNA from 1 species
UUAAGCGACUAAGCGUACACGGUGGAUGCCCUGGCAGUCAGAGGCGAUGAAGGACGUGCUAAUCUGCGAUAAGCGUCGGUAAGGUGAUAUGAACCGUUAUAACCGGCGAUUUCCGAAUGGGGAAACCCAGUGUGUUUCGACACACUAUCAUUAACUGAAUCCAUAGGUUAAUGAGGCGAACCGGGGGAACUGAAACAUCUAAGUACCCCGAGGAAAAGAAAUCAACCGAGAUUCCCCCAGUAGCGGCGAGCGAACGGGGAGCAGCCCAGAGCCUGAAUCAGUGUGUGUGUUAGUGGAAGCGUCUGGAAAGGCGCGCGAUACAGGGUGACAGCCCCGUACACAAAAAUGCACAUGCUGUGAGCUCGAUGAGUAGGGCGGGACACGUGGUAUCCUGUCUGAAUAUGGGGGGACCAUCCUCCAAGGCUAAAUACUCCUGACUGACCGAUAGUGAACCAGUACCGUGAGGGAAAGGCGAAAAGAACCCCGGCGAGGGGAGUGAAAAAGAACCUGAAACCGUGUACGUACAAGCAGUGGGAGCACGCUUAGGCGUGUGACUGCGUACCUUUUGUAUAAUGGGUCAGCGACUUAUAUUCUGUAGCAAGGUUAACCGAAUAGGGGAGCCGAAGGGAAACCGAGUCUUAACUGGGCGUUAAGUUGCAGGGUAUAGACCCGAAACCCGGUGAUCUAGCCAUGGGCAGGUUGAAGGUUGGGUAACACUAACUGGAGGACCGAACCGACUAAUGUUGAAAAAUUAGCGGAUGACUUGUGGCUGGGGGUGAAAGGCCAAUCAAACCGGGAGAUAGCUGGUUCUCCCCGAAAGCUAUUUAGGUAGCGCCUCGUGAAUUCAUCUCCGGGGGUAGAGCACUGUUUCGGCAAGGGGGUCAUCCCGACUUACCAACCCGAUGCAAACUGCGAAUACCGGAGAAUGUUAUCACGGGAGACACACGGCGGGUGCUAACGUCCGUCGUGAAGAGGGAAACAACCCAGACCGCCAGCUAAGGUCCCAAAGUCAUGGUUAAGUGGGAAACGAUGUGGGAAGGCCCAGACAGCCAGGAUGUUGGCUUAGAAGCAGCCAUCAUUUAAAGAAAGCGUAAUAGCUCACUGGUCGAGUCGGCCUGCGCGGAAGAUGUAACGGGGCUAAACCAUGCACCGAAGCUGCGGCAGCGACGCUUAUGCGUUGUUGGGUAGGGGAGCGUUCUGUAAGCCUGUGAAGGUGUGCUGUGAGGCAUGCUGGAGGUAUCAGAAGUGCGAAUGCUGACAUAAGUAACGAUAAAGCGGGUGAAAAGCCCGCUCGCCGGAAGACCAAGGGUUCCUGUCCAACGUUAAUCGGGGCAGGGUGAGUCGACCCCUAAGGCGAGGCCGAAAGGCGUAGUCGAUGGGAAACAGGUUAAUAUUCCUGUACUUGGUGUUACUGCGAAGGGGGGACGGAGAAGGCUAUGUUGGCCGGGCGACGGUUGUCCCGGUUUAAGCGUGUAGGCUGGUUUUCCAGGCAAAUCCGGAAAAUCAAGGCUGAGGCGUGAUGACGAGGCACUACGGUGCUGAAGCAACAAAUGCCCUGCUUCCAGGAAAAGCCUCUAAGCAUCAGGUAACAUCAAAUCGUACCCCAAACCGACACAGGUGGUCAGGUAGAGAAUACCAAGGCGCUUGAGAGAACUCGGGUGAAGGAACUAGGCAAAAUGGUGCCGUAACUUCGGGAGAAGGCACGCUGAUAUGUAGGUGAAGUCCCUCGCGGAUGGAGCUGAAAUCAGUCGAAGAUACCAGCUGGCUGCAACUGUUUAUUAAAAACACAGCACUGUGCAAACACGAAAGUGGACGUAUACGGUGUGACGCCUGCCCGGUGCCGGAAGGUUAAUUGAUGGGGUCAGCGCAAGCGAAGCUCUUGAUCGAAGCCCCGGUAAACGGCGGCCGUAACUAUAACGGUCCUAAGGUAGCGAAAUUCCUUGUCGGGUAAGUUCCGACCUGCACGAAUGGCGUAAUGAUGGCCAGGCUGUCUCCACCCGAGACUCAGUGAAAUUGAACUCGCUGUGAAGAUGCAGUGUACCCGCGGCAAGACGGAAAGACCCCGUGAACCUUUACUAUAGCUUGACACUGAACAUUGAGCCUUGAUGUGUAGGAUAGGUGGGAGGCUUAGAAGUGUGGACGCCAGUCUGCAUGGAGCCGACCUUGAAAUACCACCCUUUAAUGUUUGAUGUUCUAACGUUGACCCGUAAUCCGGGUUGCGGACAGUGUCUGGUGGGUAGUUUGACUGGGGCGGUCUCCUCCUAAAGAGUAACGGAGGAGCACGAAGGUUGGCUAAUCCUGGUCGGACAUCAGGAGGUUAGUGCAAUGGCAUAAGCCAGCUUGACUGCGAGCGUGACGGCGCGAGCAGGUGCGAAAGCAGGUCAUAGUGAUCCGGUGGUUCUGAAUGGAAGGGCCAUCGCUCAACGGAUAAAAGGUACUCCGGGGAUAACAGGCUGAUACCGCCCAAGAGUUCAUAUCGACGGCGGUGUUUGGCACCUCGAUGUCGGCUCAUCACAUCCUGGGGCUGAAGUAGGUCCCAAGGGUAUGGCUGUUCGCCAUUUAAAGUGGUACGCGAGCUGGGUUUAGAACGUCGUGAGACAGUUCGGUCCCUAUCUGCCGUGGGCGCUGGAGAACUGAGGGGGGCUGCUCCUAGUACGAGAGGACCGGAGUGGACGCAUCACUGGUGUUCGGGUUGUCAUGCCAAUGGCACUGCCCGGUAGCUAAAUGCGGAAGAGAUAAGUGCUGAAAGCAUCUAAGCACGAAACUUGCCCCGAGAUGAGUUCUCCCUGACCCUUUAAGGGUCCUGAAGGAACGUUGAAGACGACGACGUUGAUAGGCCGGGUGUGUAAGCGCAGCGAUGCGUUGAGCUAACCGGUACUAAUGAACCGUGAGGCUUAACCUU